AUGGAGAAGACCACGUCGUCGUGGUUCCAUGUGCAAGCGGCAGCGGCGGCGGCCUCGCCGGAUCUGUCGCUGACGAUGUCCCCAGCGGACAGCAGCCAAGACCGGAACGAGGAGGUGGCACCGACGGCGCGCGUGGACGGCAGGACGGUGCGGCUGUUCCAGUGCCUCUUCUGCGACAAGACGUUCCUCAAGUCGCAGGCGCUCGGCGGCCACCAGAACGCCCACCGCAAGGACCGCCUCGCCGGCUUCCUCUGCGACCCCUACAACAAGGACAGCCCAUUCGGGGGCGCCGCCGUCGAGGGGACUUCCACCGGGACGACCUGCGAUUCAAGCGCCGGCCGGUCCAUGUGCACUUCCGUGGUCUCGCACGGUGGUGGCGUGGAGGCGGCGCCAGCCUCCCAUGCCUGCAAGCCAGAGAGGUGGGGGCGAGCCGGUGGCGCUCCACGCUUGGCGGAGCACACGCUGCUCCAGGACCCGUUCCCUGGCCGCGACGGCGUGGCGGGCUGGUCAAGGGCCUCCGAUGCAAGUGGCGCCGGCGAGGCUCUGGACCUGGAGCUGCGCCUCUAG
rnacentral:rRNA from 1 species